UUCGGAUCGCAGGCUGCAACCCGCCUGCGUGAAGUUGGAAUCGCUAGUAAUCGCGGAUCAGCAUGCCGCGGUGAAUACGUUCCUGGGCCUUGUACACACCGCCCGUCACACCAUGAGAGUCGGGAACACCCGAAGUCCGUAGCCUAACCGCGAAGGGGGCGCGGCCAAGGUGGGUUCGAUAAUUGGGGUGAAGUCGUAACAAGGUAAC
rnacentral:rRNA from 1 species